UACAUUAUCUAAAGAAGAGCUAUUAUUUACAAUAACCAUAUAAAAAACUUAUUUUCAGGGUUGUGGAGUGCAGCUUUUUACUACCUGCAAUAGUCGUAAUUAUAUGGAGCUCUCUUAUAAAAAGAAAAAAUCAUCCUUACAAACAUUUUAAAAUUAAUAAAUAUUACACGGGUAAAAUAUAUCCGAAUUGCAGCAGCCUUCAAUUUAACUGACAAUUUUACACCGUAAACGAGAUGAAAUUGAAACUAUUAAGUAAAACAUGUCAAAUAGUAAUUCGAAAAUUUUUAGGAAUUGUUUGUUUUUUAUUGCUUGCUCCGUUUCUUAUCACGAUUUUGAUGGUUUUAUAUAUUUACCGCUGUUGGGUGAAAACUGUGCUAAGAAUUCAACUUGAAGACAAAUUUGCCGGUCUGUUGGAAGGGUCGGAUGCUUUUUGGUCCGUCAAAGAUACAUCUUUAUCCUUGAUUACUGUCGUAUUAAUAAUGAAGAAAACCGCAGGAAGUACAAAUACGACUUUCAUAAAGCAUAUCAGAAAAUUAUUUACUCAUUUAUCAAAGACUGUUCCCAAGGAGCUCGAUAAACUGUUUUACUACAGAUAUCAAAAGUUUGGUUACUUUUAUUGGAAGAAAUCAAAAUUUAAUCCAGAAACCGCAAUUAGAUGGUUGGAGUGUGAAAUCAGUAAUUGCGAUGGAUCUUGCGAGAAUGUUCACAGUACAACCUUUCAAGAAAAUCUAGGUUUUAUAAGCAACAGACCGUUGUAUGAUGAUCACAAACCGAUGUGGGAAAUGCUUAUUGGCAGACGUUGUCCAAACGUCAAAUCUUCCAUUGAAGAGGAUCCGAGGUUGUCUUCUCAAGACAGCUUUAAUACCGAACUAGACGAAGUUCCUGUAGUAUUUCGCGUUCAUCAUUCUCUUGGUGAUGGUAAAGCUUUAUUCAAGUUGCUUAAUGUGUUUGUCGACGAGGAUAUCACAAAUGAAGUGUCGACAGUAUUGGAUGAACCCCAGGACAGCGUUUUGUCUGCUAAAGAAAACUAUUUUAAGGAGCAAGAAACUAAUCCAAAACGAAAAAUUAUUUUAAACUUGAAAGGGGUAUAUAACACAAUUAAAGAAAUCAUAAGAAAAGUAAUACUUAUAUUGUUUUCUCUAGAAAUCUUUGUCUCUCAAAUUGUUCGUAAUAGGAUGACCGAUGGCAAAAGCUCUCUGCAUGGUCGAUCUUUAUCAGGUGAGAAAUUUAUAGUUUAUCGUUUGGAAAACGAUACCAAUAAAUCGCAGCUUCUGACAAAAAUUAAAAAAAUAAGACAGUGUACAGGAGCAAAAGUUACUGACAUAAUAUUAACAGCUUUUGCUGCUGGGAUAAUUAAAUAUUAUUUACGCAUGAAGGAAGUAAUACCCAACGCAAUAUCGGUUCUCAUACCAAGAAGACUUUCUAUGUAUAAUGACAACCUAGUACUGACCAAUGAUAUUUCGAUUAAUAUAGUUAAAAGUUGUUUAGUCAACGCGAAUAAAAAUGAUGUUUUAACGUCACCUACAAACUUUCGGUUCUUUGAACGUCUUCAGAGAACUACAAUAAUAAAUAACAAAAUUAGAAGUAGUUUAGAAGCAUCGUUAAAUUUUUUCCUUUUGGAACAUUUACUGGGAAUUUUGCCGGGGGAAAUUCUAAAACUUCUUAUUGCAACUCACAAUCCCACAAUGGCAUUUAGCAAUAUAAAAGGAAUACAAAGAAAACUUUCUAUUCAGAAUCAUCCUUUAAGCAACAUGUUGUUUUGGAUACCGAACAAAAAUACAACCGGGUUGUCUUUAAGUGUAAUUACUUACGAAGGCAAAUUAAAUCUGUCUCUAUUGGUUGAUAAAGCAGUAAUAAGAGAUAUGAAAGUAAUCAGAGAAAUACUAGACGAAACUAUAUAUGAAAUAGACUCUGCGUAUAAUGAUCUCGCAAGUUUCGAAAUCAUCGGAUCGUUCAGUGAAAACACUUGUGGAAAAAAAUAGAAAUGUUGGAAACAUCAGGAAAACAAGUUGCUGCGCCGCAGGAUCAUUUUAAAAAACAACGCUGUUAAUAAUCAAGGAAUAAAAAUUCUUUUUUAUUGACUAGUUUCGUGAAAUGCACAUGUCAGUUAUGUCCUACACACGCUCAAAUGCAGAAUAAAAACGAAAUAUAUUUUAAAGAAAUAAUUCGUCAACGAAACUAUUUUAAUGCUCAAUUGUGGCAACCGUCUGAGGAUAUACGAGACAUAAAAACUGCUGGUCUAAAUCAAGCUCCUAGUAACGGCAUUCAAAGACAAGAAUCAGUUUUCUGUUCUUUUACGCUUCCGUUAGAAACGGAACAACAAUUAGAAGAGGUUGUGCAAUUUUUAAGAAUUCAGGCUAAUUUUAAGAUAUUGAUAAUAUUUUGUAUUAAAUACUAUAACCUUAUAUAUUAAGUAUUAUAACCUUAAGGUACAAAUAUUUUAUUUAUUUCGGUGUACUUAAUGCAAUUAUAUAAGGAAAGGUUGCCAAUAUUGGCUCCUCGAUUAAAUCAGUGUCUGUAACGCAAGUCUUUAUAGGUAUAUAAGUAUACACAAAAACAUAUUUAUGUGUAAAUAUACAUGCGUCAUGCAUAAAUAUUGUAUAUGUCUUUAUGUAAUAUGGCGUGGCAGAACGACUACAGAUGCAUUCGCUCACCUUCGUCACAACCGAAAUCCUCUCCCCGCUGUCCUGAGCCUUUCGCCGUCACCUGAGUAUAUAAGGUGGCAAAAAUCGCGAGACGAGAGAACUAGUUUAAACUAUUGCAAAAAAAACUCUUCAGUCAGGAGUCGAACCUGGUAUCUCCGGUUUUACGGGCCAUCGCCUUUCCUGUUAGGCCAAAUAACAAAAGAGAAUUUUGUCUUGAUCGGAUCAAGUCGAUUUGUCAGGGCGAGUCUCUACGGUCAACCGGCGAAAAAGCACGCGGUCCUUGAUGUUACAAAGAACGCGAGAAAUCCGCUCAACUUGACCACUGGUAAAUAAUUUGUUCUGGAGGAUCGCACCUGAUUGAUUAACUUAGAUAAUAACGCGUGUGUAAUUAGUCUCGGCGGCUUUCUACCUUAUCGAACUCUGCGGGCUAUCGGAUUUCGUGAUAGUUAUUGCGCUAAGAUUUUCGUAUUUAUCCUGCGAGGAUCCAUACACGAACGCAGAUGCUAUCUACUUUAUUAUAUUUCGCUAGACAAGGGUCGUCGAAAACAUUCUCUCGGAAUAAGUGUUAUCGGACUGUUCGGGUUACAAAAACUCAGGUUUUUUUAUCGGACGCAAAUAUCGGCGGCAAUCUUAUACAAUUGUACCGCAAAUAACCAAAAAGUUGAGAUAUCUUUUGUGACAUAGCGUUUAACGCGUGCGGCCGCUUUACUAUUAUUGUAAGCGGCUGAUCUGACGUGUGCUGCUUGAGCAGGUUGUUGAUUAGGCGUGUCGAGAAUUCUAGCGAGCCUAGAGUUACAAGCACACGAAGGGCGGUUCUCGCUUGUUUGCGCGUCCCCACCGCUUCGAUCUCUCGUUGCUCUCUGCUCGAUCUUGUAACUCUGAGCGAGCCUCUGAAGCCUCUUGCACAAUGGACGGAAUAGCGAUAGCGAUAGAAAUAAUACCAGUU